AUUUGUUCUAUGUUAUAUGAAAUUCACUGUGCAAUCCAUCCUCUUUGAAUAGCAAACUUGAGAUUUACUUACAGUGGAAUUUUAUAUAGCAAAAUACAUAUUGAAAACAAUUAAAUAUAUCGAAGAAACUGUUCUUCGAGGAAGUGGUGGACUCACAACUGACUUUGUAUUAUGUCAUUAACUAUAUUAUGCCAAGUUUAGUUGCAUGUACAGAAACUAAGAAGUAAACCUGAUGGCAGUAGACGGACAGUAUUUGGUACAUGGUAAUUUUGUAAUCCCACACACCAAGUUUCAAGGAGUAAAAUGAUUUUUAACCGUCAGCCAGUCAGUCUGCCAGUCCUUUGUUUAUGCCAACGCAACUGCUCUAAAACACUGCUCGGGAUUUCAUAAAACAUUAUGUAGGUAGGUAGUAAGGUAAGGAUACAAUGUGUUCACUUUUACCCCUAGGAAUUUGGUUCUAUUGAACAUAGGAUUUUGCUAUUAUUGAAUAUUUUACUUGAUUAUUUUCCAGUGCAGUUUCUCUCUAACCACUGCUAAGAAUUUCAUGAAAAUUUGUAAGUAGUAUAAAUACAAUCUGUAGAUGAGCCUACUUGCAUGGAAUUUUAUUUAUUAAAAUUUUAUUGGAUUCUUUCCAAUUUGAACAAUGGCCAGUAUUUAUAAUAGUAAUAUACAAUAUUUCCCCGGAAUUUCCCCCUUUUGAACAUAGAAUUCUGGUCAUUAUUGAUUAUAGUCCUAAAACUCUCCUAAAACUACUAAUAAGGUUUUCAAGAAACUUUGAUAUAAGGACAUGAUGUAUAGAUAGGGUUAUUUUCUCGAAAUUCCGAUACUGUUAUUUUUCAGAUUUUCCAUCCAAGUUGAACUUACAAGGUUGGCUAUUAUUGAGUAUGCUAAUGAAACUGUUUGUCUGCGCAACUCUUUUUAAACAACUUAUUUGGACAGUUUUUGUUUUAAAUAUUGAUAAAAACAAUUAAGAGUAUCUGACUACUUUUAAAAUCUAGCCAGACCUUAGCUGAAACAGAUAUCAUUGCAACUUCUGUUAAACAAGUAAAUAUGAAUUCAAAAACCUUAUUUUGUCAUUUUUUGCUAAAGACAAAAGUAUAUGUGCACAUUUUUGCGGGUUGUGUUGAUGUGGAGUUUUGUCGCUUUAUAUUAUUUUUUUGUGUAUUUAAUACAUACAUUCAUAAUGUGUAACAUUUUCAAUAUGGAAGCGUAGGAUAUAUGAACUUGCUCACGUUUUCUUUCAUUAAUUCUGUUUCUCAUAUACAUCUCAUAAACAUAUUAACCAGGAAUAUUUAUCAGUAUGAAUACUUCAAGUUAUAAUGGUUAAAAGUAUUUUUAAAUUAACUUUUAAUCCAAUAUCAAGGAUUAAAACUAAUUGGAUUGUUUUACUCAAUAUGUCACCAGAUUUUAAAAUGUUCUCUAGUUAUCAGUCCAAAGUAUCUGAAGUAGAUGUUUAAGAAUUUGCUCAAUAACAUGAGGACGUCAAUCAACGUUCACCCUAUCACACACUAUCACCUUAUCAUGUCACUACAUAUUAUUUUUUUCAGAACCAUUUAAGGCUAAACGCAAAAAGAAGUGUUUGAUAAUUAUGUAUAAAUGAAUAAAUGUGAAAAUGAAUUUGAUUGAAAUUUAACCCUAUAGAGAAUUUUGUCCUCUGAUUUCAUUAUUUAUAGAAAUACCGGUAUCAUCCAAUUUUGUAAAUCGUUACAUUUGGUAUAAAAAGUUUAUUGAGUUGCGUUU
rnacentral:sRNA from 1 species